rnacentral:rRNA from 1 species
AUGUACAGAAGGCAAGAGCUUCAGAGAUGUGGUCAACGGAUCACCCCCCGUGUUCCCCUGUCUGACGGGUCGCUGUGGACCCGUGUGUCGAUGCCAAUUUUCAGGGACACAAACAUCAGAAAGGACAACAUGAGGCUGCUUAUCUUCUCAGGAACGGCCAAUCCUUCGCCCACCCAGGAAAUAGCAAGCUACAUCGGUCUAGAACUUGGGGAGAUUAACAUAAAAUUUGCUGAUGGCGAAAUAUACGUUCAGUUGCAAGAAAGUGCAAGGGGAUGCCAUGUGUUCCUUAUGCAGCCAUCAUGUCCUCCACUCAUGGAGCUACUCAUCAUGAUUGAUGCGUCUAGAAGAGCAUCUGCUAAGAAUAUUACUGCAGUUAUCCCUUAUUUCGGUUAUGCCAGGGCUGACAGGAAGUCUCAAGGUCGUGAAUCUAUGGUUGCAAAACUUGUAGCUAAUAUGAUUACGGAAGGUGGUGCAGACCGUGUCCUUGUUUGUGAUCUUCAUUGAAGUCAGGCCACGGGAUAUUUUGACAUCCCAGUAGAUCAUGUUUAUGGCUAGCCGGUGAUUCUUGAUUACCUCGCCAGCAAAACAAUUUGUUCAAAUGACUUGGUGGUGGUGUCGCCUGAUGUUGGAUGCAUUGCCAGAGCACGCGCUUUUGCCAAAAAGGAUGCACCUCUAACAAUUGUAGACAAAAGAAGGCAUGGACACAACGUUGCCGAGGUAAUGAAUCUGAUUGGAGAUGUUAGAGGAAAAGUGUUUGUUAUGAUGGAUGAUAUGAUUGAUACAGCAGGAACUAUUGCCAAAGGAGAUGAGCUGCUGCACCAAGGAGCAAGAGAAGUCUAUGCGUGCUGUACACAUGCUGUUUUUAGCCCACCCGCCAUCAAGAGAUUAUCAAAUGGUUUGUUUCAAGAAGUAAUCAUCACAAACACUAUCCCUUUGAAGAAGCAUUGA